rnacentral:rRNA from 1 species
UACGGGGGGGGGCAAGCGUUUGUUCGGAAUUACUGGGCGUAAAGGGCUCGUAGGUGGCCAACUAAGUCAGACGUGAAAUCCCUCGGCUUAACCGGGGAACUGCGUCUGAUACUGGAUGGCUUGAGUUCGGGAGAGGGAUGCGGAAUUCCAGGUGUAGCGGUGAAAUGCGUAGAUAUCUGGAGGAACACCGGUGGCGAAGGCGGCAUCCUGGACCGAUACUGACACUGAGGAGCGAAAGCCAGGGGAGCAAACGGG